rnacentral:rRNA from 1 species
ACCACAAUCAACCCCAAUACUUUAGAGUAAUUCAAAUGAGGUACAGCCCAUUUGACACAGGAUACAACCUUCACUUACGGGUAAGACCUAAUUCACACCUUAAAGUGGGCCUAAAAGCAGCCACCUUUUAAAAAGCGUCAAAGCUUGACCCUGAGCACAUUAAUUCAAAAACCUAUAUUAACCCCUUCAACUGUACUGAGAACUUCUAUAAUCCAUAUAGAACCUUUUAUGCUAAAACUAGUAACAAGAGGAAACCCCUCUCAUAAUGCAAACAUAGGCCAGCAAGAACCCAUCACUGACAAUUAACAACCAUAAACAAAAGUAGCAACCUCACUAGAAAACCCUACUUCAACCAACUGUUAACCUAACACCAGAGCAUUUCAAGAAAGAUUAAAAGAAAAAGAAGGAACUCGGCAAAUCCAGAGUCCCGCCUGUUUACCAAAAACAUCGCCUCUUGCUUCCAAUAAGAGGUCCAACCUGCCCAGUGACCCUGUUCAACGGCCGCGGUAUCCUAACCGUGCGAAGGUAGCGUAAUCACUUGUUUUCUAAAUAAAGACCUGUAUGAAAGGUUUAACGAGGACUAAACUGUCUCCUUUUUCUAAUCAGUGAACCUAAUCUCCCCGUGAAAAAGCGGGGAUUCCCAUAUAAGACGAGAAGACCCUAUGGAGCUUAAAACAUCAUGACACCUGCCACCCAUCUUUAACUACCUUAGUAUCCCUCAACGGCACCUUGAUUUUAUGUUUUUGGUUGGGGUGACCGCGGAGAAAACCCCAUCCUCCGCAAUGAAAGGGGCCUCCCCUUAACAAUAAGUUACAACUUUAUGUAUCAAUAAGUUGACAUCCAUUGACCCAAUAAAUUGAUUAAUGAACCAAGUUACCCUAGGGAUAACAGCGCAAUCCACUUUGAGAGUCCCUAUCGACAAGUGGGCUUACGACCUCGAUGUUGGAUCGGGAUAUCCUAGUGGUGCAGCCGCUACUAAGGGUUCGUUUGUUCAACGAU